UCUCCCGUGAGGGAGCAGUCUCGCCUGACACUUGUAACAGGCAACGAGGGUUGCGUUCGUUUCCCCACUUAAGGGAACAGCUCAAGCCACGAACUGACGACGGCCAUGCAUCACCUGUCAUACACCCUCGAAGGCUUCCUAGCUUUCACUAGGCGUGCAGUAUGAUUUCUAGCCUCGGUAAGGUUCUUCGUUUGGUGACGAAUUAAGCCUCAUGAUCCACCGCUUGUGCGAGCCCCCGUCUAUUCCUUUGAGUUUUAAGCUUGCGCUCGUACUACCCAGGCGGAUGACUUAACGCGUUAGCUUCGUCUCGGAGAGGGUCGAUACUCCCCAAAACCAGUCAUCAACGUUUAGGGCGUGGACUAC
rnacentral:misc_RNA from 1 species